GACGAACGCUGGCGGCGUGGAUUAGGCAUGCAAGUCGAACGGUAGGAUCCUUUCGGGGAUCCGAGAGUGGCGAACGGGUGAGUAACACGUAGGUGACCUGCCUUCGAGUGGGGGAUAACGUCCCGAAAGGGACGCUAAUACCGCAUGACAUCCUGCUUUUGGAAAAGCGGAGAUCAAAGCCGGGGAUCGCAAGACCUGGCGCUUGAAGAGGGGCCCGCGCCUGAUUAGCUAGUUGGUGGGGUAAUGGCCUACCAAGGCAACGAUCAGUAUCCGGCCUGAGAGGGCGGACGGACACACUGGGACUGAGACACGGCCCAGACUCCUACGGGAGGCAG
rnacentral:rRNA from 1 species